rnacentral:rRNA from 1 species
GGAUUCCCCUAGUAACUGCGAGUGAAGCGGGAAAAGCUCAAAUUUAAAAUCUGGCGGUCUCUGGCCGUCCGAGUUGUAAUCUAGAGAAGUAAUGCCCGUGCUGGACCGUGUAUAAGUCUCCUGGGAUGGGGCGUCAUAGAGGGUGAGAAUCCCGUCUUUGACACGGACUACCAGUGCAUUGUGGUAUGCUCUCAAAGAGUCGAGUUGUUUGGGAAUGCAGCUCAAAAUGGGUGGUAAAUUCCAUCUAAAGCUAAAUAUUGGCGAGAGACCGAUAGCGAACAAGUACCGUGAGGGAAAGAUGAAAAGAACUUUGGAAAGAGAGUUAAACAGUACGUGAAAUUGCUGAAAGGGAAACGCUUGAAGUCAGUCGCGUUGGCCGGGGAUCAGCCUUGCUUUUGCAUGGUGUACUUUCUGGUUGACGGGUCAGCAUCAAUUUUGACCGCUGGAAAAAGACCUGGGGAAUGUGGCAGCUUCGGCUGUGUUAUAGCCCCUAGUCGCAUACAGUGGUUGGGAUUGAGGAACUCAGCACGCCGCAAGGCCGGGUUUCGACCACGUUCGUGCUUAGGAUGCUGGCAUAAUGGCUUUAAGCGACCCGUCUUGAAACACGGACCAAGGAGUCUAACAUGCCUGCGAGUAUUUGGGUGGAAAACCCAAGUGCGUAAUGAAAGUGAAAGUUGAGAUCCCUGUCGUGGGGAGCAUCGACGCCCGGACCAGAACUUUUGGGACGGAUCCGCGGUGGAGCAUGUAUGUUGGGACCCGAAAGAUGGUGAACUAUGCCUGAAUAGGGUGAAGCCAGAGGAAACUCUGGUGGAGGCUCGUAGCGAUUCUGACGUGCAAAUCGAUCGUCAAAUUUGGGUAUAGGGGCGAAAGACUAAUCGAACCAUCUAGUAGCUGGUUCCUGCC